CAAUUCCACAUUCAUCAUCACUUCCCUCCUCUCUCUCUUCCUCUCUCUCCCUCCCACUUCUUCCUCUCCUUCCUCUCCUCUUCCUUCGCUCUGUGGUCAACUCUCAGAAACCCAUCUUCUCUGCUCUCGCUUAUUGACUUGUGCCGACUUCUUCAGAAGAAGAGAAAGUUCAAGUGUUUGGAUCUUCUGCUAAAAGGUCUAGAUAGUGGAGAAAUUGUCGACUUUUAUCUGUGUAUAAAGAAGGGCAAAAGCUUGGAACCCUAGUCCUCAAGCUUUCAUUGGUGGAAUCCAUUUUGUUCUGAACAUUCAGGCAAUAUUUUAGGGGUAUUUUCAUUGGUGAGGAAUGAUGAUGAUGUUUGAAGAGAUGGGGUUUUGUGGUGAUUUGGAUACGUUAUCUGCUCCCCUGGGGGAAGGUGAUGCUGUCACCCGGCAGACUGAACCAGAGGUGGUGGUUGAUGAUGAUUACACUGAUGAAGACAUUGAUAUGGAUGAGCUGGAGAAGAGGAUGUGGAGAGACAAGUUGCGUCUGAAAAGGUUGAAGGAACAGAGUAAAUCUAAGGAAGGAAUAGAUGCAGUAAAACAAAGGCAGUCUCAAGAACAAGCGAGGAGGAAAAAGAUGUCAAGAGCCCAAGACGGAAUCUUGAAGUACAUGCUAAAGAUGAUGGAGGUUUGCAAGGCUCAAGGAUUUGUUUAUGGGAUAAUUCCAGAGAAGGGGAAACCUGUGACUGGUGCUUCUGACAAUCUUCGUGAAUGGUGGAAAGAUAAAGUCAGAUUUGAUAGAAAUGGCCCAGCUGCCAUAGCCAAAUAUCAAGCAGAUAAUUCGAUUCCAGGCAAGAAUGAUGGGUGCAGCUCUCUUGGUCCAACUCCACACACCCUGCAAGAGCUUCAGGACACAACGUUGGGUUCUCUCUUGUCAGCACUGAUGCAGCACUGUGAUCCACCUCAGAGACGAUUUCCAUUAGAGAAGGGAGUUCCUCCACCAUGGUGGCCCACAGGGAAUGAAGAUUGGUGGCCUCAAAUUGGUUUACCUAAAGAUCAAGGCCCUCCGCCAUACAAGAAACCACAUGACCUGAAGAAGGCAUGGAAGGUGGGUGUUUUAACUGCUGUUAUAAAGCACAUGUCUCCUGAUAUUGCCAAGAUUCGCAAGCUAGUGAGGCAGUCAAAAUGUCUUCAAGAUAAAAUGACAGCCAAGGAAAGCGCCACUUGGCUUGCGAUCAUUAACCAAGAGGAGGCUUUGGCACGAGAGCUGUACCCUGACUAUUGCCCUCCGUUGUCUUCAUCUGGAGGUAGUGGAUCUUUGGUUAUCAAUGACUGCAGUGAGUAUGAUGUUGAAGGGGCUGAGGAUGAGCCAAAUUUUGAUGUGGAUGACCAAAAACCUGAUAGCCUCAAUCCGUCCAAUCUUGGGAUGGAUAGAAUGAGAGGAAGGUUGCCAAUUCAGCAACCUUCUUUUCCAAUCAAGGGAGAGAUUGUCACCAACUUAGAUUUCAUUCGGAAGAGGAAGGCUCCUAAUGACUUUAACAUGAUAAAUCAGCAAAUCUACAUAUGUGAGCACCCUCAAUGCCCUUAUAGCGAAGUUCGCCUUGCAUUUUCUGACCGGACUUCAAGGGAUAAUCAUCAACUUAAUUGUCCAUACAGAGGCAGUUCUUCAGAUUUUGGUGGGCCAAAUUUUCAUGUUAAUGAAGUCAAGCCGGUUAUCUUCCCUCAAUCUUUCGCCCAACCCAAACCCACUGCUCAGUCUGUUAAUUUAGUUCCACCUUCGUUAAAUCUAUCAGGGCUCGGAGUUCCUGAAGAUGGCCAGAAAUUGAUAAGUGACCUUAUGUCGGUUUAUGAUACAAAUGUUCAAGGGAGCAAGAACAUGAAUUCCAGUAACUGUGUAACUGUAGAAAAUGAAAACCUUUCCCAACCCAGCAUUCAGCAGCAACAGAACAAUUUCUUCCCUAAUCAAGGAGUCGUGAUGGAUGGAAACUUCUUUGAAGACUCCAACAUGUCCAAUAAUCAGCAGAUGUUUGCCCGCGAGGAAGGUCAUUUUGACCCGUUCAAGGCUUUUAACUCUCCUUUUGAAAGCAACCAUCAGCACCACAACAGCAACAGCAGUAGCAACAACAACAAUUUCCAUUUAAUGUUUGGGUCCCCUUGUGAUUUGGCAUCUUUUGAUUUUAAGGAUGAGAUGCAAGCAGGCGUAGGAGGAAUGGAAUCUCUUCACAAACAGUCAGACAUGUCAUCAAUAUGGUAUCACCAUUGAAAUGACUUGUGGAAAUCACAUGUAUCAUGGGAGUCUCAUUUUUUCCCCUUCAAAUCAUGGGAAGUUCCCGUGUCUAAGAGAAAGACUUGCUGGUUUGCAAGUGAAGAUCAUGAAUACUGUUUAUGACACAUGAUUCAGUGAACCCUGCCAUAUAUUGUUAUCUGAUUGGUCUAUAGGUAGAACUGGUAGAUGAUAUAACAGGUUAAGCAAUCUGGAGAGAAUUUGGUGUGGGUAAAUUGGUUGGGAAGGGAUAUGGAUUGAAGAAAGUUUUGUCCUUGUUAUCACCCUUUUUCUGUUUUUCACUUGAGCUUAUCCUCUGGCAUGUGAGUAUGGGACCCCAGAAAUGGGACGUGCCAAGUUGAGAGCUGUUUGGUUGCGUGAUGGAAUUGGAGACCAGUGUUGGGGUGGUGGUGGGGUCCACGGAAGGGACUUGUCUUGUCUGUCUGUUUGUAUUGUAAUGUAUGUGAGUGUCAUUGGUCAAUGUCCUAGCAAACCUUCUUUUUAUUUUUCACAUGAUGUCUUCCAUUUCCUUUCCACUUUGGUGAAAUUAAGUGUGUCACAUUCAUGGGACCAGAGAAAAUGGCACAUCUCUUCCUUGGUCCUAGGCGGCUGCGCCUUCUUCCUUCCUUCCUUUGAGUGCUUAUUUUACCCCACCCCA